rnacentral:rRNA from 1 species
UACGUAGGGACCGAGCGUUGUCCGGAAUCAUUGGGCGUAAAGAGCGUGUAGGCGGCUAUUUAAGUCCUGCGUGAAAUCCUGCGGCUCAACCGCAGACGGUCGUGGGAAACUGGAUGGCUAGAGUGCGGGAGAGGAGAGUGGAAUUCCCCGGUGUAGCGGUGAAAUGCGCAGAUAUCGGGAAGAACACCCGUGGCGAAGGCGGCUCUCUGGAACGCGCUCGACGGUGAGGGAUGAAGCUGGGGGAGCAAACCGG